GUGGGCAUAGCUCAGCUGGUUAGAGCGCCAGAUUGUGGAUCUGGAGGUCGCGGGUUCAAGUCCCGUUGCUCACC
rnacentral:tRNA from 1 species